UACGAAGGGGGCUAGCGUUGCUCGGAAUUACUGGGCGUAAAGGGCGCGUAGGCGGCCACGCACGUCCGUUGUGAAAUCGCCCGGCUCAACUGGGCGGGGGUCGGCGGAUACGGCGUGGCUGGAGCAAGCUAGGGGGCAAUGGAAUUCCCGGUGUAGUGGUGGAAUGCGUAGAUAUCGGGAGGAACACCAGUGGCGAAGGCGGUUGCCUGGAGCUUUGCUGACGCUGAGGCGCGAAAGCGUGGGGAGCGAGUCCGG
rnacentral:rRNA from 1 species